AGAGUUUGAUCCUGGCUCAGGACGAACGCUGGCGGCGUGCCUAAUACAUGCAAGUCGAGCGAACUUCUUUAGAGCUCGCUUUAAAGAAGUUAGCGGCGGACGGGUGAGUAACACGUGGGCAACCUGCCUGUAAGACUGGGAUAACUUCGGGAAACCGGAGCUAAUACCGGAUAAUAUAUAGUACCUCCUGGUACUAUAUUGAAAGUUGGUUUCGGCUAACACUUACAGAUGGGCCCGCGGCGCAUUAGCUAGUUGGUGAGGUAACGGCUCACCAAGGCGACGACGGCUAGCUGGUCUGAGAGGACGACCAGCCACACUGGGACUGAGACACGGCCCAGACUCCUACGGGAGGCAGCAGUGGGGAAUCUUGCGCAAUGGGCGAAAGCCUGACGCAGCAACGCCGCGUGGGGGAUGAAGGCCCUCGGGUUGUAAACCCCUUUCAGCAGGGACGAAUCUGACGGUACCUGCAGAAGAAGCCCCGGCCAACUACGUGCCAACAGCCGCGGUAAUACGUAGGGGGCGAGCGUUGUCCGGAUUUAUUGGGCGUAAAGAGCUCGUAGGCGGCUUGGCAAGUCGGGUGUGAAACCUCCAGGCUUAACCUGGAGACGCCACUCGAUACUGCCAUGGCUAGAGUCCGGUAGGGGACCACGGAAUUCCUGGUGUAGCGGUGAAAUGCGCAGAUAUCAGGAGGAACACCGGUGGCGAAGGCGGUGGUCUGGGCCGGCACUGACGCUGAGGAGCGAAAGCGUGGGUAGCAAACAGGAUUAGAUACCCCGGUAGUCC
rnacentral:rRNA from 1 species